UACAGAGGGCCCAAGCGUUACGCGGAAUCACUGGGCUUAAAGGGUGCGCAGGCGGAGGCGUAAGUGCCUUGUGAAAUCCCACCGCUCAACGGUGGAACCGCAGGGCAUACUGCGUCUCUUGAGGCCAGUAGGGGGUACCGGAACUGUAGGUGUAGCGGUGAAAUGCGUAGAUAUCUACAGGAACGCCAAUGGCGAAGGCAGGUACCUGGGCUGGUUCUGACGCUGAGGCACGAAAGCGUGGGGAGCAAACAGG
rnacentral:misc_RNA from 1 species